rnacentral:lncRNA from 1 species
CAGCAGGCUGCCACAAAAGGGCUGUGUUAGCAUCCAGCAUCUUGAUGACUGCAAGGCAGGCUUUAAAUAAGGGAAGAAAUCAAACAAGGACUUUACAUCUGUGGUUGUGCAAGUGCGUCACAUUGGUUAGAAUUUAAGAAUUUUUUUUAUAUCUGUAUACUCUCACUUAAUCAAGGAGUGACAUUUUUCUGGUGCAUUCAAGAUGUCUUUAUUACAAGUAUUCAUUAGGAUGGACCACACCACAAUUAGCUGAGAUUUGAAUUCAUACUCUGUGUAGUCGCUGGUAUGACAUAUUCUAAAGUGAAUGGGCGAAGAUGGGAAUUGCAUGUAGUUAUUUUGUGUUGAAUGCUAUGGUUUUGUGGAGUGCAUAUGAAGAAAUAAAGUUUCAUAAAUGACAAAUAAAUUUCAUGUUGAUAAAUUGUGGAACUGUGUUUGUUAUUUUUCUUUUUUGUGAGAUAAUAAUAAUACAAAAUUUGUAAAGCACAAGCUCACAGUCCUAAGAUAUCUUACCGCCUAAGAACAAGAGUGAAACCUGGACAGUGUACGAGGGACAGGAAAACAAACACAUUAAAAAAGUGAUGGUGCCAAUGUGUUACUGAGGUGGCACAUGAAACUUUGAACUUUAAAAGCAGUUGUGGCACACAGCUCUAUGCCGACUUCCUCUGUUUAGUGGAAUCAUAGCCGGCACCUAUGUUCAAGCAUCUGAUUGACCCGUCAAAUAUUUCAUUUAUACCUAAAAAUCAUGAAGAUCAUUGUUUCCCACUAGUUAGCUGUUUUUUUUAAUUGUCAUACUCCAUUAAAAGUCAUCAUGCUGUAAUAUUAAAGGACUUGUAGGCUGCAAUUUUCUGUGUAUGGUGAUGAUUUUUGCUGUAUUUUAAAAAUCAGAGAAGGAUAUGCAGAUUUCAGUAAAUAUUACCUUACAUUGAGCUUUACCACUCAUUACCAAACAGUAGUGCACCCUCCUUAAGCAGGUCCCAUUCUCGGAAAACAUUUUGGAUCAUGCACAUCAGAAGUUUAUUGCCUGGUCAAGAGUCAUAAUCAAACUUUUAAAAUGUUACUGACUAGCAUAGGUUUAAGUUUGAGUGCUGGUGAGUGAGAGUGCUUUAUUCCAAAAAUACUGAAAAAAGCAAAACUGAUGAAUGACCUCUUUGUUUAGUUGAUUUCAGUGUCUAAAGGAAACUCAUUAAUUGGAGCAUGGAAGUGGGAUAGCUUCUCCACACUCAUCACCACUUUCAAUACCACACAGGAAACACAGCAACAAAAUUGCCUAGGACGCUUACCACAGGGGGAAGAAAUAUGGUUUUAUCAAGCCAUUGCAAUCGUGACUAGUGGGAUUGACCUGAGAAAAGUUAAACAAAGGGUAUGAUCCCUUGAGGAUGUGAAAUCAAAUUCUUUCAGUGACUACAGCUCGCAUGCUUGCUGGCUGUGUGGUAUUCAAAGACAAAAUCUGCAUUGUUGGUGAAAACUCUGCAGUGAGUGAACGAUGGUACAAGGAAUAUUUAGCUGAGUACUGUGUGAGUUCAUUGGAAACAUUUGACCCGACAACAGAAACAUGGAUGGCUGGGCCAGAGCUGCCAAAUCCACUAUGUGGAGCAGCCUUUGAUGUGCCAGGAAUGUAUCCUGAAAUGGAGGCACACUUGCUAAUGUGUGUAUAUACAUGGUUAUUCAUUUAUAUGGUUUGGUCAAGUUUGGUGAAACCCUCACGAUUGUUGGUUGGGAGGACGAUAAAAGCUGGAUGGUUGGAAUGUGCUGGUUGCGAGAAGAUAAGGAUAGACUUACAUGGAGC